CAUUAUGACAGUAGUUCGCUACUUUGCUGGGGGAGAUGGGAAAGUCCUGGCUGAAAAGCCAGUGUACCGGUACCUGCACCCCUAUCAUACCCUUGUCUUUUGAGUACUUAUGUUUCCUUGGUAGGCUUGCUUACCAGUUGGACAAUUUACAAACCUUUAUUUUAUAAAUCAGCGUCUGAAUAAAUUAAUAAUUACAACUUUCAACAACGGAUCUCUUGGUUCUGGCAUCGAUGAAGAACGCAGCGAAAUGCGAUAAGUAGUGUGAAUUGCAGAAUUCAGUGAAUCAUCGAAUCUUUGAACGCACAUUGCGCCCCUUGGUAUUCCAUGGGGCAUGCCUGUUCGAGCGUCAUUUGUACCCUCAAGCUAUGCUUGGUGUUGGGUGUUUGUCCUUUGCUUUAUUGCUUGGACUCGCCUUAAAAUAAUUGGCAGCCAUUGUUUUGGUAGAAAGCGCAGCACAUUUUGCAAUUUCCUCCAAGAGUAUUAGCGACCAACAAGCCUUUUUAACACUUUUGACCUCGGAUCAGGUAGGGAUACCCGCUGAACUUAAGCAUAUCAUGAGGCGGAGGA
rnacentral:rRNA from 1 species